rnacentral:rRNA from 1 species
CCUACGGGGGGCUGCAGUGAGGAAUAUUGGUCAAUGGGCGCAAGCCUGAACCAGCCAUCCCGCGUGCAGGAAGAAGGCGCUAUGCGUCGUAAACUGCUUUUCCAGGGGAAGAAAACCUGAUACGUGUAUUGGCUUGCCGGUACCCUGGGCAUAAGCAUCGGCUAACUCCGUUCCAGCAGCCGCGGUAAUACGGAGGAUGCGAGCGUUAUCCGGAUUUAUUGGGGUUUAGGGGUAUUUAGGCGUCAGAAUAGAAAACCUUCAGCUUAACUGGAGACUUGCCAUUGAUACUGUUAGUCUUGAGUACGGUCAAGGUAGGCGGAAUGUGUAAUGUAGCGGUGAAAUGCUUAGAUAUUACACAGAACACCGAUUGCGAAGGCAGCUUACUGGGCCAUUACUGACGCUGAUGCACGAAAGCGUGGGGAGCGAACAGGAUUAGAUACCCGAGUAGUC